rnacentral:rRNA from 1 species
AGGAUGAACGCUGGCGGCGUGCCUAACACAUGCAAGUCGAACGUCCUGUCUCGCAAGAGGCAGGGAGUGGCGGACGGGUGAGUACCACGUGGGUCAUCUACCGUGAGGUGAGGAAUACCGGCGAGAAAUCGCCGACAAGACCGCAUAGCCUCGGUGCAAGUCGAGCAAAGCUCUUUCGAGAGAGGGAGCGCCACACGAGGAGCCUGCGCCCGAUUAGCUAGCUGGUGGAGUAAUGGUUCACCAGGGCGACGAUCGGUAGCUGGUCUGAGAGGACGAUCAGCCACACUGGGAUUGAGAACGGCCCAGACUCCUACGGGGGGCAGCAGUGAGGAAUUUUCGUCAAUGGGGGCAACCCUGAACGAGCAACGCCGCGUGCAGGAAGAAGGUUUUCGGAUCGUAAACUGCUUUUCUCGGGGAAGAGAACGGACGGUACCCGAGGAAUCAGCCCCGGCUAACUACGUGCCAGCAGCCGCGGU